GCGUCGGCGUCACCUGGGGCCCGGCCAGUGUCCGAGCACCUGGAGGUAGAGCUGGGCCGGUGCAGACAAUGCCAUCGGGGCUCUGUGCUCGGUGCUCCUCCGAGCCACGUGAUCGUGUAGCGGGUUUGCGGGAGGGACUGAGGGUGUGGGCUGCGGAGGCCAAGUGUGCUGGGUGCCCCGCGGCCCAUGUUUUCCCGGGGAGGCCGGUCAGAAAGGUUUCAAAUUCCAGAAACAAAGGCUCGAAGGCAUAUCGCACCCCUGCGGUGCAGGAGUCAAGCAGAAGGGUGUGAGGCGGAACCCUAACUCCUGGGGAUCCCUGCUUUUACUUGGGAGCAGAGUCCUGAUACAUAAUUUCCCGGGUCACUCCGGUACCUUGAGUAAAUAACCUGGACCGGCAGUUUCUUUCUCCUGCUUUAAGAUUCAGACCCAUAAGGUGCCCCGAGGCCCUUAAUCAAAACCUAAAUGAUCAUUGCGCUAUUACAAUGAAGUCUCUUUCAAUUCCUGCAGCACUUGUCAGCCUGUUUUUCAUUUUGGUGGCUGAAUCAUAUACCUCCCCUAUUUGGUAAGCCCUUGGCCUGUUUUUCUCCACCCACAUCCGUAGCCUUCAGCAGACCUUCCAUAAAUAUCAGGGAAGGUUUUUGAAACAUGAAUCCUUCACUCCUCCUGACUGCCCUUUGCUUGGGAAUAGCCUCAGCUACUCCAAAACUUGAUCCAAGAUUGGACGCACAGUGGUACGAGUGGAAGGCAACACACAGGAGACUAUAUGGCGUGG